rnacentral:rRNA from 1 species
CCCCCCCCCUUUUUGGUGAGCUCCGCGGCCUCAGAGAUAGCACUCUCGGCUGAUACGCCCAUCACACACGCAAUCUUCGCAGCCGACACGCACAGGAAGACCCUUGCGUAUCCUACACGGGGUGGGGCGAAGUUGGCCGGGACCGGGGUUGGAGGGAAAUAACCAAUCCGGGAAAUCCUUACCUUUUUUUCGGUGGGGGGAAUAAACCGUUAAGGGAAACCUUACGCUAAUACCGCAUACGACUACGGGUGAAAGCAGGGGACCUUCGGGCCUUGCGCGAUUGAAUGAGCCGAUGUCGGAUUAGCUAGUUGGCGGGGUAAAGGCCCACCAAGGCGACGAUCCGUAGCUGGUCUGAGAGGAUGAUCAGCCACACUGGAACUGGAGACACGGUCCAGACUCCUACGGGAGGCAGCAGUGGGGAAUAUUGGACAAUGGGCGCAAGCCUGAUCCAGCCAUACCGCGUGGGUGAAGAAGGCCUUCGGGUUGUAAAGCCCUUUUGUUGGGAAAGAAAUCCAGCCGGCUAAUACCUGGUUGGGAUGACAGGUACCCAAAGAAUAAGCACCGGCUAACCUUCGUGCCAGCAGCCGCGGUAAUACGAAGGGUGCAAGCGUUACUCGGAAUUACUGGGCGUAAAGCGUGCGUAGGUGGUUGUUUAAGUCUGUUGUGAAAGCCCUGGGCUCAACCUGGGAACUGCAGUGGAAACUGGACGACUAGAGUGUGGUAGAGGGUAGCGGAAUUCCUGGUGUAGCAGUGAAAUGCGUAGAGAUCAGGAGGAACAUCCAUGGCGAAGGCAGCUACCUGGACCAACACUGACACUGAGGCACGAAAGCGUGGGGAGCAAACAGGAUUAGAUACCCUGGUAGUCCACGCCCUAAACGAUGCGAACUGGAUGUUGGGUGCAAUUUGGCACGCAGUAUCGAAGCUAACGCGUUAAGUUCGCCGCCUGGGGAGUACGGUCGCAAGACUGAAACUCAAAGGAAUUGACGGGGGCCCGCACAAGCGGUGGAGUAUGUGGUUUAAUUCGAUGCAACGCGAAGAACCUUACCUGGCCUUGACAUGUCGAGAACUUUCCAGAGAUGGAUUGGUGCCUUCGGGAACUCGAACACAGGUGCUGCAUGGCUGUCGUCAGCUCGUGUCGUGAGAUGUUGGGUUAAGUCCCGCAACGAGCGCAACCCUUGUCCCUUAGGUUGCCAGCACGUAAUGGUGGGAACUCUAAGGAGACCGCCGGGUGACAACCCGGAGGAAAGGUGGGGGAUUGGAACCGUUCAAGUUUCAUUCCAUUGGGCCUUUACCGGGCCAGGGGCUACACACGUUCUACAUGGUGGACCUUAGGCUGCAAUGCCGGUUAAGGAAGCAAUCCAGGAAGGGCUUGGCCAAGCC